UGUUUCUUUUCCUUUGGUUUUCAGAUUUCUAAUAUAAUUCUUGUAUUUUCUGUUAACAGAUCAGGGCAGAUCCAGGAGCACAUUAGAGAUCUUAUAAACUCAGGACACCAAGUUCCUACAUGUCUCAUCUGGACACCAUGGGUCAGACCUUCCAAGAGACAACAAAAAUCACUGAAACCUCAUGACAGCAAGCAAGGAGGAAGGAUCCUGAAGACCCAUGAUGGCCCCUUUCAGCAGGAAGUAGAUACAGAGAAUGAAUUCUGCCCCAUCUACCAAAAGAUUUCUGGGUCCCAACUCCUUGAGGAAAAAAAUGUGAUGAAGGCAUUUAUUGUUCUGACCCUACCGUUUCUAUCCUAUGAAAAGGACCAGCUGAUCAAGGAGCUGCAGCAGCAUGUGAAGUUAGUGACAGCCCCACACAAGUACCUGACAAAGGGACAUGGAUGAAUCUGGAAAACAUCAUCCUCAGCAAACUGACACAAGAACAGAAAAUGAAACACUGCAUAUUCUCACUCAUAGGUGGGUGAUGAAAAAUGAGAACACAUGGACACAGAAAGGGGAGUACUAAACAGUGGGGUCUAUUGGGGGGAAAAGGGGAGGGCCAGUGGGAGGGGGAGGUGGGGAGGGAUAGCCUGGGGAGAAAUGCCAAAUGUGGGUGAAGGGGAGAAGAAAAGCAAAGCACACUGCCAUGUGUGUACCUACGCAACUGUCUUGCAUGCUCUGCUCAUGUACCCCAAAACCUAUAAUCCA
rnacentral:lncRNA from 13 species